rnacentral:lncRNA from 1 species
GGAAAUCUAAUUUUAUUUUGUGCCCUUUAACAGUCUUAGGAUGCACAAGAAGAAUAAACUGUACCUUUAAGUGGUUUUUAAGAUCAUUUCAAAUGAGUGAAAUCUAACUGAGCAGCUCUUGUUUAAUUUGUCUUGUUUGUAGUAUUAAAAGCAGUCAGGGUUUCUGUUUAUUUAAAGGAACAUUUUUGGUUUGUACUUUUCAGUCCUAUUGUGCAUAUAAAUUCUUUGAGAAGAAUAUUCAUCCCUUGUGAUAUCAUGGGCCACUUUUAGUCUUUUAUUUGAACCCCACCUUUGAGUUAUUUGCUGUGUCUGUUUUUUAAGUAAACACAAGCUUCUUUUUUGAACAUAACACUGCAGAAUUUUGAGAUGAGUGGAGAGUGGUUUUUCUGCUUUCUGUAAAGUUUAUGAAGAUUCUUAGCUGACUUAUCCCAUGAGAUGAUUCUUUUUCGUUUCAGACCAUGAUAACAUAUUGUAGUUAACUUUGGAAAUCUUCCAUUCAGUUUGCAAAGUUCCCUU